CACGGGGGGAGCAAGCGUUGUUCGGAAUCACUGGGCGUAAAGGGUGCGUAGGCGGCGGGGUAAGUCAGGUGUGAAAUCUCGGGGCUCAACCCCGAAACUGCACUUGAUACUGCCUCGCUUGAGUACUGGAGAGGAGACUGGAAUUUACGGUGUAGCAGUGAAAUGCGUAGAUAUCGUAAGGAAGACCAGUGGCGAAGGCGAGUCCCUGGACAGUUACUGACGCUGAGGCACGAAGGCCAGGGGAGCAAACGGG
rnacentral:rRNA from 1 species